CGUUGGUUAGAGGUUGUAAAUAUUAGAUGUGACUAUAGAUGUUGUCGCAACGUCACAGUACUUUGUUGGCCCGACGUCGGGAAACGUUUGAAAUGGACGUUGGGUACCACCGUUGGGCUGAUGUUGGUUAGAGGUUAUUGUAGACGUCGCAACGUCGCAGUACGUUGUUGGCCCGACGUCGGUAAACAUUUGAAAGAUGACUGUGUACUACUGCAGGACUGUAAAGGGUGGUAAUGAUUAUUUUGUGUCAACAUCACAGUACGCCGUUGGUGCGACGUUCGUUGUUGGCCCGACGUCGGUAAACGUCUGAAAGGAUGACUAUACUACCGUUGGGCCCAUGUUGACUUCAGGCCGUCAAGAAAAUUGCGAGGUGCCACGUGUGUCCGUAUUAUAAUAAAUGUACUUGAUAAAUAAUUGAUGUACCUUGAUAAAGACCUAAGGAUAGGUCGAAAUAUUGGUUUUCUCAAAUAAAGUGUUUCCUAAGUCUAUACAUUGUAUUCGUUUGCUAUAUUGACCAAUCAGCGCCGCGUGUUCUUGUUUCAAGUUUCAAGUUCAAAAACGCGGGAUUCGUUACUGAAACGACGCCAUUCCUGUUUUUAUCGUACGAGUGGUAAGAAGGUGUGUCGAAUCAUAGGUCGAAAAAGAGACCCGAAUAUGUCGUCCUGUCCUCAGAACUUUCUCAACGUGAAAAAACAUUAUAAAGUAAACUUUGGCAAAAGGACUAAAGGGAUAUCACUGAAGCUACAUCUGAGGAAAAAAUAAAAUCAUGGCUUAAGUACAGUUAAGACCGAUUAGUUAGAAGAAAGGCCAGAGCCGAGAAGCAGAGAGCUACAGCACAAAAGGAAGAAGUUCUUCAUUUAACUGACAGUGACUGAACAACAUGCCAUUUCAGGCACUAUAUUCUUCAAAUUUAAACCAGAUUUCAAAUCUUCGUAUUUACAUUUAAAUUUGAUUUUAGAUGUUUUUUAAUCUUGUAAUUUUAGACACCAGGAAAACAUAAUUAAAAAUUGUAUACUAAAUCAUUAUUUUUAAAUUUAGGUUUUUAUGCGCCUACUAAAUUUGAUAUAAUUGUGAUAUUAAUGAUAAAAAUGCAUAAAACCACACGAAUACAAUGGCUUGAUCACCUUGGACUUUCUUCCGCGUACUAUCUCAAUGACCCAGGCUGAAUUUCAGAUUUUUUUUUUGCUUUGAGUUUAAAUCAAACAUUAGUGUAUUACGCCUUAUCUAUAUAGACUCUAUUAUAUGUUAUAUAUACAUACUAUGUAUAUACAUUCAUUUAUAGUAAUAAAAUAAUAAAGUGAAAGAUUUUAUUGUAUUGGGUACAUUCUUUUAGAACGCUAGAAUAAUCUACGCUCCUACUAUCUAUUUUUUUUUUAAUAGUUUUAAUGAGAUAUAAGGGCACCUGAUCAACGCAGUAUACAAGCCUUAAUUAAAAUCCGUCAAUAUUUUGCACAGUUAAAUUAAAACACUGUAACGAAUACUCAAUACAGACUAAAACAUAUCAGACCAGCGACGUCGUGAUGCUGCCAUAUAAAUUACAAUGCACCUCGACGUAUCUGUCCGAAGACCAACAAAAAAGCAACGUUGGGUCAACGUUAGUCUAGUUGGGUUAACGUCUUUCGAAGAAGCUGAACCCACGUUGGCCUGAUAAAUAUGCAAACGUCUAACCAACGUUAGUAUAAAUACGUUGGGCCAACGUGGUUUGACGUUGCACAAACAUAUCGGCCGACGUUGAUCCAACUAGUCGGACCGACGUCUUUCCAACCGGCUGAAUCGACGUUGGCCCGAUGAAAAAGCGAACGUCUAGGCAAACAUUAGAAAAGGAACGUUGACCCGAACGUCUAGGCAAACAUUAGAAAAGGAACGUUGACCCAACGUAGUUUGAUGACGUUGCACAAACGCCGUCGCCCCGACGGUGAUCCAACUAGUCGGACCGACGUCUUUCCAACUGGCUGAACCGACGUUGGCCCGGUGGAAAAGCGAACGUCUUAUCAGAAAAAGUACGUUGUUCCAACGUGGGUGGACGACGUUGCACAAACAUAUCGGCCCGACGUUGAUCCAACUAGUCGGACCGACGUUUUUCCAACUGGCUGAAUCGACGUUGGCAAGAUGGAAAAGCUAACGUUUAGGCAACAUCAGUAAGGAACGUUGGCCCAACGUAGUUUGAUGACGUUGCACAAACAUAUCGGCCCGACGUUGAUCCAACUAGUCGGACCGACGUCUUUCGAACGGGCUGAAUCGACGUUGGCCCGAUGGAAAAGCGAAGGUACGUUGGGCCAACGUGAUUAGGCGAGGUUGCACAAACAUUAUCGGGCCAACGCUGAUCCAACCAUGGAGGUAUGAUCCAACUAGUCAGGCCGAUGUCUUUCCAACAAGCUGAAUCCACGUUGGGCCGAUGGAAAGCCGAACGUCGGGCCAACAUUUGUGUAAGUACGUUGUGCCAACGCAAUUAUUUGACCUUCAACCAACGUCGGGCUAACGUCGCUUGCUAGCUGGGGUGACUUAACUUUACUAGAAUAUCGGUAAAUUAACUUGCUUAACGGUAAAUUUGGCUCAGAUUACAAGGCCACGAUUACGUAACGUAGGCAUCUAAGUCAGCGUUGUUGUAUUGUACCACCAUUAUCAUGCUCUGGCUGGCAACAACGUACUCCAACAAUGCUAACAACAGCAGCAUAGUAGUCUCAUUAGUACGGUGGCUGAUUUCCAACAUCCAGUCGUUAAAAAUGAGCGCACA